rnacentral:rRNA from 1 species
UGGGGAAUAUUGGACAAUGGGCGCAAGCCUGAUCCAGCCAUGCCGCGUGAGUGACGAAGGCCUUAGGGUUGUAAAGCUCUUUUGGCGGGGACGAUAAUGACGGUACCCGCAGAAUAAGCCCCGGCUAACUUCGUGCCAGCAGCCGCGGUAAUACGAAGGGGGCUAGCGUUGUUCGGAAUUACUGGGCGUAAAGCGCACGUAGGCGGAUUAUUAAGUCAGGGGUGAAAUCCCGGGGCUCAACCUCGGAACUGCCUUUGAUACUGGUAAUCUCGAGUCCGGAAGAGGUGAGUGGAAUUCCUAGUGUAGAGGUGAAAUUCGUAGAUAUUAGGAAGAACACCAGUGGCGAAGGCGGCUCACUGGUCCGGUACUGACGCUGAGGUGCGAAAGCGUGGGGAGCAAACA